UUAUAGGUGCUAGGACAGAAGG
rnacentral:piRNA from 1 species